UGCAAGUCGAACGGUGAAGCAGGAGCUUGCUCUUGUGGAUCAGUGGCGAACGGGUGAGUAACACGUGAGCAACCUGCCCCGGACUCUGGGAUAAGCGCUGGAAACGGCGUCUAAUACCGGAUAUGCAUCAGAAUCGCAUGGUUACUGGUGGGAAAGAUUUUUUGGUUCGGGAUGGGCUCGCGGCCUAUCAGCUUGUUGGUGAGGUAAUGGCUCACCAAGGCGUCGACGGGUAGCCGGCCUGAGAGGGUGACCGGCCACACUGGGACUGAGACACGGCCCAGACUCCUACGGGAGGCAGCAGUGGGGAAUAUUGCACAAUGGGCGGAAGCCUGAUGCAGCAACGCCGCGUGAGGGAUGACGGCCUUCGGGUUGUAAACCUCUUUUAGCAGGGAAGAAGCGAGAGUGACGGUACCUGCAGAAAAAGCGCCGGCUAACUACGUGCCAGCAGCCGCGGUAAUACGUAGGGCGCAAGCGUUAUCCGGAAUUAUUGGGCGUAAAGAGCUCGUAGGCGGUUUGUCGCGUCUGCUGUGAAAUCCCGAGGCUCAACCUCGGGUCUGCAGUGGGUACGGGCAGACUAGAGUGCGGUAGGGGAGAUUGGAAUUCCUGGUGUAGCGGUGGAAUGCGCAGAUAUCAGGAGGAACACCGAUGGCGAAGGCAGAUCUCUGGGCCGUAACUGACGCUGAGGAGCGAAAGGGUGGGGAGCAAACAGGCUUAGAUACCCUGGUAGUCCACCCCGUAAACGUUGGGAACUAGUUGUGGGGGCCUUUCCACGGUCUCCGUGACGCAGCUAACGCAUUAAGUUCCCCGCCUGGGGAGUACGGCCGCAAGGCUAAAACUCAAAGGAAUUGACGGGGACCCGCACAAGCGGCGGAGCAUGCGGAUUAAUUCGAUGCAACGCGAAGAACCUUACCAAGGCUUGACAUAUAGAGGAAAGUUCUGGAAACAGUUCCCCCGCAAGGUCUCUAUACAGGUGGUGCAUGGUUGUCGUCAGCUCGUGUCGUGAGAUGUUGGGUUAAGUCCCGCAACGAGCGCAACCCUCGUUCUAUGUUGCCAGCACGUAAUGGUGGGAACUCAUGG
rnacentral:rRNA from 1 species